UUUGUCUUCAGUUUGAUCGUAGACUCUUGCUGCUUCCUUCCUCUCCAACUUUAUCUGUCCUAUUCACAUUAACCCUCAUAAGAAAUGGAAGAAAUUGAAGGAAUUUUUGAGGCUUUUGAAGAUUAUGUUGACGGGGCAGACGAGGCUGCAGAAGACUUGACAGAAGAAGAAAAGGCAGAACUAGAAAGGGAAGUCGCUGAAGCAAAAAAUGCACUUUCUGAGCUUUCAGAACAAUUAAAGAGUUUCAAAGAAAUCCUUCAGAAUUUAAAAUCAGCCAUAGGGCCAAUAACAAAAUGGUUGGCAAGAAAUAUAGCUAUUGGUGCCAUCUUUUGGGGAGUAAGUACUGGUCUGACCAGACUGCUCAAGUAUGCAACUCCUAAAGAAAAGGAAACGAAACGUACUAUCAUUAGUGCUCUCAAGUGUGUGAUCAACAGUGAAACUGACCUAAGCAAGAAGACGCUGAGUUGGACCAAGGAUCACCAGGAUGACAUGAUUACCCUGGAAACCUAUCCCGUGCCUCUGGAAUCCAUCAUGGCCAAAUAUCUGACUCCAGUAUCAAAGGCUGUUGAGGAAGCUUUCGAUAUUGCAGAGAGGUUUCAGACCAAGAUUGGUGGGAAAGUGCAGCCGAAGCUCCCGAACGCAGGAGAUAUAACGCAGUUCCUCACCGCUGCUGAAG